rnacentral:lncRNA from 1 species
GCCUCCCUCGUGUUUACAUAUUUUGACAGGUCGAGUUGUUCUGGGACUAGGAACAAUGAUGAAGAUAUAAAUUUAUCCAAAGAAAUAAUGAGACAAUGAAUGCUAAAAUUGCCAAGAAAAGACUGCCAUAUUUACACACCAUUUUAUACAGAUGAUCAUCUGAAGGGCCACAAUUGUUUGAAGCAUUGGUCAACAAAAACUGAACUAUUU